rnacentral:rRNA from 1 species
ACUCAAAGGAAUUGACGGGGGCCCGCACAAGCGGUGGAGUAUGUGGCUUAAUUCGAUGCAACGCGAAGAACCUUACCUAGGCUUGACAUGCAUCUCUAAGUCGGUGAAAGCCGGCGAGUGUAGCAAUACACAAUUUGCACAGGUGCUGCAUGGCUGUCGUCAGCUCGUGUCGUGAGAUGUUGGGUUAAGUCCCGCAACGAGCGCAACCCUUGUGAACUGUUGCCGUAUGGACACAUACGGAUCUCUGUUCAGACUGCCCUGUGAAACGGGGAGGAAGGUGAGGAUGACGUCAAGUCAGCAUGGCCCUUACGCCUAGGGCUGCACACGUACUACAAUGCCCAGUACAGAAAGAGCCGAACCAGCAAUGGCUAGGAAAUCAGUAAAACUGGGCCCAGUUCGGAUUGUGGGCUGCAACUCGCCCGCAUGAAGCUGGAAUCGCUAGUAAUGGCGCAUCAGCUACGGCGCCGUGAAUACGUUCCCGGGCCUUGUACACACCGCCCGU